CGGCGAAGAGCCCUACUUUAUAAUCACUACAUUUUACCAAAAAAUACUUUAUAAUUACAGAAGUGACGCAUACUACGAAUGUGUGGCACGAUUUUUCACACUCACUGAAUACCAUCCUUGCUGCACAGCUAAAAUGGGUCGCUCAGACGAUGUUAUGGCUGUGACAGACCCAAGACUUCGAGUAUACAAAGUGGCUGGGCUGCGGUUGGCAGACGCCUCAGUUUGGCCAACAAU